AUUGAACGCUGGCGGCAUGCCUUACACAUGCAAGUCGAACGGUAACGGGCCUUCGGGUGUCGACGAGUGGCGAACGGGUGAGUAAUACAUCGGAACGUGCCCGAUCGUGGGGGAUAACGAGGCGAAAGCUUUGCUAAUACCGCAUACGAUCUACGGAUGAAAGCAGGGGACCGCAAGGCCUUGCGCGGACGGAGCGGCCGAUGGCAGAUUAGGUAGUUGGUGGGAUAAAAGCUUACCAAGCCGACGACCUGUAGCUGGUCUGAGAGGAUGAUCAGCCACACUGGGACUGAGACACGGCCCAGACUCCUACGGGAGGCAGCAGUGGGGAAUUUUGGACAAUGGGCGCAAGCCUGAUCCAGCCAUGCCGCGUGCAGGAUGAAGGCCUUCGGGUUGUAAACUGCUUUUGUACGGAACGAAAAGCCUUCUUUUAAUACAGGAGGGUCAUGACGGUACCGUAAGAAUAAGCACCGGCUAACUACGUG
rnacentral:rRNA from 1 species